UACGUAGGGUCCGAGCGUUGUCCGGAGUUACUGGGCGUAAAGCGCGCGCAGGCGGCGGUGCUGGCCCGGCGUGAAAGCCCCCGGCUCAACCGGGGAGGGUCGUCGGGGACCGCACCGCUUGAGGGCGGUAGGGGCUGGUGGAAUGCCUGGUGUAGUGGUGAGAUGCGUAGAGAUCAGGCGGAACACCCGUGGCGAAGGCGGCCAGCUGGGCCGUCCCUGACGCUGAGGCGCGAAGGCGUGAGGAGCGAACGGG
rnacentral:rRNA from 1 species